GGAUGUGAGGGAGAUCUGGCUGCAACAUCUGUCACCCCAUUGAUCGCCAGGGUUGAUUCGGCUGAUCUGGCUGGCUAGGCGGGUGUCCCCUUCCUCCCUCACCGCUCCAUGUGCGCCCCUCCCGAAGCUGCACGCUAGGGAGGACGGCCUUCCCCGAAUAGAGACGGACUGAUCCUCCGUCGAGGGUAUAUGAGUAGCAACGCUCCCUUGCUAGAACCUCCAAACAGGCUCUCAAGUAUUAUAUAACAAGGAUCAUUCCAGCAAAACCAAACUAAAAUA
rnacentral:snRNA from 1 species